AGAAGGAAUUCCACGCUUUUGGUGUUGUGAUUCAGUUGUGCAAUUUGAAGAAAGGAAUCAGCCAACUGAUUUGGACAGGAAGACAACGAGAAAUUAUUGAGACACUGCAGUCAUAGCAGAAUCCUUGCAGUCUGAAGCAGAUAAAAAGCAAGGGUGGACAAUAUGUUGGAAAGACAUUUGUAUAAACAGUGAACAGCAGUGAACAACAAACUCCAGUCCCAAGAUCCACUGAACAGCUGCCUGUUUCAAAGACUCUGGGGAAGUCAGGCGACAAAAAAAGUACAUUCUUGUCACCAUCCAGCAACCUGGAAUAUGGAUCUUUGCUCUGAAUAAAAAAAAAGAGGAGAGGAAAGAACAUGCCCUGAAAAGAAAAGGCGUCAACAGACAAUUUCAUAAAAAGGAAGUUCUGUAAGGUAAUAUUUGAGAUGAAAUGCUAGAAACUCUUCAGCUGUUAAAUAUCCUGUAUUAAACUUCAGAGCUGGAAGUCCCUUCUUCAGGUGAGGAAGUUCAGUGGGUCCAACUGGAGCUUCAUGAGACCAGUGGUGGAAACCAAUCCUCCUUGCUGAGGGCGAUGUGGAUUUCUCCCAUAGACAAUGACUGUUCUGCAGAAUCUAAGGUAAUGUUU